rnacentral:rRNA from 1 species
AGCAGUCGCACGGGAAUACGUAGGGUGCAAGCGUUAAUCGGAAUUACUGGGCGUAAAGCGUGCGCAGGCGGUUAUAUAAGACAGAUGUGAAAUCCCCGGGCUCAACCUGGGAACUGCAUUUGUGACUGUAUAGCUAGAGUACGGCAGAGGGGGAUGGAAUUCCGCGUGUAGCAGUGAAAUGCGUAGAUAUGCGGAGGAACACCGAUGGCGAAGGCAAUCCCCUGGGCCUGUACUGACGCUCAUGCACGAAAGCGUGGGGAGCAAACAGGAUUAGAUACCCGCGUAGUCCCUGUCUCUUAUACA